rnacentral:rRNA from 1 species
AUGUGUAUCCCUAAGAAAGAUGGAGGUAUGGGAUUCCGUGACUUACACUCUUUUAGUCUGGCUAUGUUGGCAAAACAGUCCUGAAGAUUGAUAUCUACUUCAAAUUCUCUGUGUGCACAAGUUCUUUAAGCCAAAUAGUAUCCAAACUGUAAUUUACUCAAGGCAGGUCCAAAGAAGGGUUCCUCUUUCAUUUGGCAAAGUAUUGUGGCAGGUCUGAACACUUUUUGA